UCUCCGUUGGUGAACCAGCGGAGGGAUCAUUACCGAGUUUACAACUCCCAAACCCCAUGUGAACUUAUACCUUUUCAGUUGCUUCGGCGGGUCGCCCCGGGGUCGCGGGCAACCCCCGCGCCCGGAACCAGGCGCCCGCCGGAGGACCCAAACUCUUCUGUAUUUUUACGCAUGUCUGAGUGUAUAAAACAAAAAAUGAAUCAAAACUUUCAACAACGGAUCUCUUGGUUCUGGCAUCGAUGAAGAACGCAGCGAAAUGCGAUAAGUAAUGUGAAUUGCAGAAUUCAGUGAAUCAUCGAAUCUUUGAACGCACAUUGCGCCCGCCAGUAUUCUGGCGGGCAUGCCUGUUCGAGCGUCAUUUCAACCCUCAAGCGCUGCUGCUUGGUGAUGGGGGACGGACCCGGCUGGGUGGGAUUUUCUCCCUCUCCCGCCGCCGCCCCUGAAAUGAAUUGGCGGCCCCGUCGCAGCCUCCUUUGCGUAGUAGAAUUAUUUUACCAUCUCGCAAUCAGGAGCGCGGCGCGGCCACUGCCGUAAAACGCCCCAACUUUUUAAGAGUUGACCUCGAAUCAGGUAGGAAUACCCGCUGAACUUAAGCAUAUCAAUAAGCGGAGGAAAAGAAACCAACAGGGAUUGCCUCAGUAACGGCGAGUGAAGCGGCAACAGCUCAAAUUUGAAAUCUGGCCCCUAGGGCCCGAGUUGUAAUUUGCAGAGGAUGCUUUUGGCGAGGUGCCUUCCGAGUUCCCUGGAACGGGACGCCAUAGAGGGUGAGAGCCCCGUCUGGUUGGAUACCGAGCCUCUGUAAAGCUCCUUCGACGAGUCGAGUAGUUUGGGAAUGCUGCUCUAAAUGGGAGGUAUAUGUCUUCUAAAGCUAAAUAUUGGCCAGAGACCGAUAGCGCACAAGUAGAGUGAUCGAAAGAUGAAAAGCACUUUGAAAAGAGGGUUAAAUAGUACGUGAAAUUGUUGAAAGGGAAGCGCUUAUGACCAGACUUGGACCCGGUGAAUCAUCCAGCGUUCUCGCUGGUGCACUUUGCCGGGCUCAGGCCAGCAUCAGUUUGUCUUGGGGGAUAAAAGUUUUGGGAAUGUGGCUCCUCCGGGAGUGUUAUAGCCCAUUGCAUAAUACCCUGGGGUGGACUGAGGUUCGCGCAUCUGCAAGGAUGCUGGCGUAAUGGUC
rnacentral:sRNA from 1 species